UGAGAAGAGCUUGCUCUUCGAUUCAGCGGCGGACGGGUGAGUAAUGCCUAGGAAUCUGCCUGGUAGUGGGGGACAACGUUUCGAAAGGAACGCUAAUACCGCAUACGUCCUACGGGAGAAAGCAGGGGACCUUCGGGCCUUGCGCUAUCAGAUGAGCCUAGGUCGGAUUAGCUAGUUGGUGGGGUAAUGGCUCACCAAGGCGACGAUCCGUAACUGGUCUGAGAGGAUGAUCAGUCACACUGGAACUGAGACACGGUCCAGACUCCUACGGGAGGCAGCAGUGGGGAAUAUUGGACAAUGGGCGAAAGCCUGAUCCAGCCAUGCCGCGUGUGUGAAGAAGGUCUUCGGAUUGUAAAGCACUUUAAGUUGGGAGGAAGGGCAGUAAGCGAAUACCUUGCUGUUUUGACGUUACCGACAGAAUAAGCACCGGCUAACUCUGUGCCAGC
rnacentral:rRNA from 1 species